rnacentral:tRNA from 1 species
GCCGGAGUAGCUCAGUGGUAGAGCAAUUGCAUGGUAAGCAGUAGGUCGGGAGUUCAAUCCUCCCCUCCGGCU